ACGGAGGGUGCAAGCGUUAUCCGGAUUCACUGGGUUUAAAGGGUGCGUAGGUGGAUUGGUAAGUCAGUGGUGAAAUCUCCGGGCUUAACUCGGAAACUGCCAUUGAUACUAUCAGUCUUGAAUACCGUGGAGGUCAGUAGAAUAUGUCAUGUAGCGGUGAAAUGCUUAGAUAUGACAUAGAAUACCAAUUGCGAAGGCAGCUGGCUACACGAAUAUUGACACUCAGGCACGAAAGCGUGGGGAUCAAACAGGA
rnacentral:rRNA from 1 species